UACGUAGGAAGCGAGCGUUGUCCGGAUUUACUGGGCGUAAAGGGCUCGUAGGCGGCCAACUAAGUCAGACGUGAAAUCCCUCGGCUUAACCGGGGAACUGCGUCUGAUACUGGAUGGCUUGAGAUUGGGAGAGGGAUGCGGAAUUCCAGGUGUAGCGGUGAAAUGCGUAGAUAUCUGGAGGAACACCGGUGGCGAAGGCGGCAUCCUGGACCAACACUGACGCUGAGGAGCGAAAGCCAGGGGAGCAAACGGG
rnacentral:rRNA from 1 species